UUUUGCUCUAUUUAGUUUAUAUAAAAUUUCAAGUUGUGGUCUUGGGGAAGUUUAAAAGAGC
rnacentral:tRNA from 1 species